UUUUUUUUUUCUUUCUCUUUUCCUCAUUGUCCUUCCUGGGACACUCAAUCACUGUUCAGUUUCCAAUAGAUUAUUCUAGAUAUCCAAAGUUUGUGUCUCUACUUUGACAGCAUAGACCAUUUUGAGAACUCGCUAUGCAGAAGGGGAAAAAUAAUCUUUUGGUGCCACCAUUACUUUUCUUCAGCAACGUAGGAGAAAAUACCAUUGAGCACUAAGAGGAAUUUUUGAUAAAUACUCUAUUGAGAGGGUGGACUGAUUAAUUCUAUUGAACUGAUAAUUUUUUUAUGGCUUUUAGGUAUGGGCAGAACAAGAUCACAUUUGCUUGGAGGUGCAUGUAGCUUGAAAGGACCCAGCCUUCCAUUUAUGUAUGUCAAAUAUCCUACACCCUUUCAGAAGCUGAACCAGACUGGUACUUCCUUUUUCAUUCUUUGAAUCUCACAGAAAGCUUUUGUCUCCUGCACUGAAGGAAGGAUCUCCAAGCAAGAAAGAAUGGUAUGAGUCAUUUUGUUAUCUCAUUUCCUUUUUAGUCCUCUCAAAAAUCCUAUCAGUAGCUAAUACAGCUUGAUGUAGAAUUAACUCUUGUGGUAGCUACUCCAUUACUUCUGUGAAGCAAUUACAGAGAUCUCUGCCAGAAGAAGCAUUUACUGAGGAAUCCAUACUGCCAGUGGCAGAAGGCCAGCAGAGAAGCGUAUUGGAGCAACAGUCCCUUGAGGGUGAUUCCUGCCUCUAUAGAUCCGAUACAAACAUUAUUUUUUGUAAACAUCUCCUACUUACAAAGUUAGUAGGCCUCUGCUUAUUUUCCACAGCUGAAGACACAUCUUGCAAGAAGCAAUGUAUGAAGUUUGUCUGUAUCUUUCUGUGAUAUAAAUUGGUCAUGCUAUGGAAUUAUAAAUAAGGAUUUAACAAAAAAAAAAAAAAAAAAA